CCUACGGGUGGCAGCAGUGGGGAAUAUUUCACAAUGGGGGAAACCCUGAUGCAGCGACGCCGCGUGAGUGAAGAAGUAUCUCGGUACGUAAAGCUCUAUCAGCAGGGAAGAUAAUGACGGUACCUGACCAAGAAGCCCCGGCUAACUACGUGCCAGCAGCCGCGGUAAUACGUAGGAGGCAAGCGUUAUCCGGAAUGACUGGGCGUAAAGGGUGCGUAGGUGGUUUGACAAGUUGGUAGCGUAACUCCGGGGCUCAACCUCGGCACUACUACCAAAACUGUCGGACUUGAGUGCAGGAGGGGAAAAGGGAAUUCGUAGUGUAGCGGUGGAAUGCGUAGAUAUCAGGAGGAACACCAGUGGCGAAGGCGAUUUGCUGGACUGUAACUGACACUGAGGCACGAAAGCGUGGGGAGCAAACAGGAUUAGAUACCCGAGUAGUC
rnacentral:rRNA from 1 species